rnacentral:tRNA from 12 species
GGGUGAUUAGCUCAGCUGGGAGAGCACCUCCCUUACAAGGAGGAGGUCGGCGGUUCGAUCCCGUCAUCACCCACCA